rnacentral:antisense_RNA from 1 species
UUUGAUGGUGGCUGUACGGAGGGCGCUUUCGAGCGCGCCGGUGAGUCUCCCCGGUCUACUAACCUGCGUACAGCUGCCACCCUC